rnacentral:rRNA from 1 species
CCCUUAGAUGUUCUGGGCCGCACGCGCGCUACACUGACGAUGGCAACGAGUUUUUCCUUCGCCGAAAGGUGUGGGUAAUCUUUUGAAACAUCGUCGUGCUGGGGAUAGAUCAUUGCAAUUUUUGAUCUUGAACGAGGAAUUCCUAGUAAGCGCGAGUCAUCAGCUCGCGUUGAUUACGUCCCUGCCCUUUGUACACACCGCCCGUCGCUCCUACCGAUUGGGUGUGCUGGUGAAAUGUUCGGAUCGGCCGUUUGUCGCGGUUUCCGCGUCAUGUGGCUGAGAAGUUCAUUAAACCCUCCCACCUAGAGGAAGGAGAAGUCGUAACA